GGGCCAUAGCUCAGCGGUCCAGAACAUCUGCUUCUAGUGCAGAAGGUCUCAGGUUCAAUCCCUGGCAUCUCCA